rnacentral:tRNA from 1 species
GGGGGAUUAGCUCAGUUGAUAGAGCACCUGAUUUGCAUUCAGGGGGUCAGGGGUUUGAGUCCCCUAUUCUCCACCA